GGAAUUGUGCCUGAGUUUUUAGGGGCCACCUUGAUAGGGUGACUGACGGGGGUUAAAAUCCCCCUGAUUCCU
rnacentral:tRNA from 1 species